CCCUUUGAUACUCUGGGCGGCACGCGCGCUACACUGGUUUAUAUAACGUGUAAUUUGGACGAUAGUCUGUAUAAAUCACUAAUAUAAAACCGUGAAUGGGAUAGUUUAUUGCAACUUACAAACUUUAACUAGGAAUCCCUUGUAGAAGUAGUGAAUUAUACUGCUUCGAAUACGUCCCCGCCGAUUGUACACACCGCCCGUCGUUUCUUCCGACUGGUACUCAUUGUGAAUUGCGAGGAGAUUCUGUCAAAUCGUUGUAAAUGCUGGGUAUUGGAGGAAGAAAAAGUCGUAACA
rnacentral:rRNA from 1 species